GAUGAAGAACGUAGUGAAAUGCGAUAAGUAAUGUGAAUUGCAGAAUUCAGUGAAUCAUCGAAUCUUUGAACGCACAUUGCGCCCCUUGGUAUUCCGGGGGGCAUGCCUGUUCGAGCGUCAUUAUAACCCCUCAAGCUCAGCUUGGUGUUGGGGCCUGCCGACUGGCAGCCCUUAAAAUCAGUGGCGGCGCCAUCUGGCUCUAAGCGUAGUAAUUUCUCUCGCUAUAGAGUCCCGGUGGAUGCUUGCCAGCAACCCCCAACUUUCUAUGGUUGACCUCGGAUCAGGUAGGGAUACCCGCUGAACUUAAGCAUAUCAAUAAGCGGAGGA
rnacentral:misc_RNA from 1 species